rnacentral:rRNA from 1 species
GACGAACGCUGGCGGCGUGCUUAACACAUGCAAGUCGAACGAUGAUGCCCAGCUUGCUGGGCGGAUUAGUGGCGAACGGGUGAGUAAUACGUGAGUAACCUGCCCUUGACUCUGGGAUAAGCCUGGGAAACUGGGUCUAAUACUGGAUACUACCUCUUACCGCAUGGUGGGUGGUGGAAAGGGUUUUACUGGUUUUGGAUGGGCUCACGGCCUAUCAGCUUGUUGGUGGGGUAAUGGCUCACCAAGGCGACGACGGGUAGCCGGCCUGAGAGGGUGACCGGCCACACUGGGACCGAGACACGGCCCAGACUCCUACGGGAGGCAGCAGUGGGGAAUAUUGCACAAUGGGCGGAAGCCUGAUGCAGCGACGCCGCGUGAGGGAUGACGGCCUUCGGGUUGUAAACCUCUUUCAGUAGGGAAGAAGCGAGAGUGACGGUACCUGCAGAAGAAGCGCCGGCUAACUACGUGCCAGCAGCCGCGGUAAUACGUAGGGCGCAAGCGUUGUCCGGAAUUAUUGGGCGUAAAGAGCUCGUAGGCGGUUUGUCGCGUCUGCUGUGAAAGCCCGGGGCUCAACCCCGGGUCUGCAGUGGGUACGGGCAGACUAGAGUGCAGUAGGGGAGACUGGAAUUCCUGGUGUAGCGGUGAAAUGCGCAGAUAUCAGGAGGAACACCGAUGGCGAAGGCAGGUCUCUGGGCUGUUACUGACGCUGAGGAGCGAAAGCAUGGGGAGCGAACAGGAUUAGAUACCCUGGUAGUCCAUGCCGUAAACGUUGGGCACUAGGUGUGGGGGACAUUCCACGUUUUCCGCGCCGUAGCUAACGCAUUAAGUGCCCCGCCUGGGGAGUACGGCCGCAAGGCUAAAACUCAAAGGAAUUGACGGGGGCCCGCACAAGCGGCGGAGCAUGCGGAUUAAUUCGAUGCAACGCGAAGAACCUUACCAAGGCUUGACAUUCACCGGACCGCCCCAGAGAUGGGGUCUCCCUUCGGGGCUGGUGGACAGGUGGUGCAUGGUUGUCGUCAGCUCGUGUCGUGAGAUGUUGGGUUAAGUCCCGCAACGAGCGCAACCCUCGUUCUAUGUUGCCAGCACGUGAUGGUGGGGACUCAUAGGAGACUGCCGGGGUCAACUCGGAGGAAGGUGGGGAUGACGUCAAAUCAUCAUGCCCCUUAUGUCUUGGGCUUCACGCAUGCUACAAUGGCCGGUACAAAGGGUUGCGAUACUGUGAGGUGGAGCUAAUCCCAAAAAGCCGGUCUCAGUUCGGAUUGAGGUCUGCAACUCGACCUCAUGAAGUCGGAGUCGCUAGUAAUCGCAGAUCAGCAACGCUGCGGUGAAUACGUUCCCGGGCCUUGUACACACCGCCCGUCAAGUCACGAAAGUUGGUAACACCCGAAGCCGGUGGCCUAACCCCUUGUGGGAGGGAGCCGUCGAAGGUGGGACUGGCGAUUGGGACU